UAUUAAGAUGGCAGAGUAUGUGUAAGAUUUAAGCUCUUAUCAGGAAAGUUAAUUUCUCUUAAUAU
rnacentral:tRNA from 1 species